AUUGAACGCUGGCGGCAGGCCUAACACAUGCAAGUCGAACGGGUGGCGGACGGGUGAGUAAUGUCUGGGCAACUGCCUGAUGGAGGGGUAUAACUACUGGAAACGGUAGCUACUACCGCAUACCAUCGGAUGUGCCCAGAUGGGAUUAGCUAGUAGGUGGGGUAAAGGCUCACCUAGGCGACGAUCCCUAGCUGGUCUGAGAGGAUGACCGGCCACACGGGAACUGAGACACGGGCCAGACUCCUACGGGAGGCAGCAGUGGGGAAUAUUGGACAAUGGGCGAAAGCCUGAUGCAGCCAUGCCGCGUGUAUGAAGAAGGCCUUCGGGUUGUAAAGUACUUUUAGCGGGGAGGCGUUACCCGCAGAAGAAGCACCGGCUAACUCCGUGCCAGCAGCCGCGGUAAUUC
rnacentral:rRNA from 1 species